GAGAAGGUUUUACUCUUUUAGAAAGCAGCAGAUUGUAAAAAGUGUGACAAACACAUGUAGCUGAUGAAAAGGAGCAUGAUGAACAACAGUAUGAAUGAAAAUAAUUAUAUGAAUGAUAAUUUCUCAUUCAGGUAUGAAAACUUAGGUGAAUGGGUAUAUUUGGAGCAUUACUUCAAAUACAUAGUCUUCAGGCUGUCCAUUGGUGAUGAUGACUGUAACUUCUGGCUUCUCAAGAAUUUCUUCUCUAAUAUAUGAUGAAAAAUUUAGUGCAGAGAAGAUAUGGUGGAGCUGGAUACAGCUAAGAGUUAGUGAAAUAACUGUUUUUCAUGUCUGGCCUCCCCUUUUUUUUUUGUUUGUCUGUGGCAAUUCUUAGCUUUAUGACCCUAUCUAGAGCACUGCAAAUUUUCACCUACUUUGUCUACAGUAUCCAGCUGUCUUUUUAAGUUGACCAGGCUUUUGUGCUCAGUAAUUAUAAACAAGACAAUUUAGAGGCUUAAUCUGGAACAUAAUUAAACAUCCUACACACUCAAACCAAGUAGUAAUGGCUUUAGGAUUGUUCAGUGUUUAAUUUACCUUUUAUUUUUUGCAUUCAGGUAGUGUCUGCCAUAUUCGUACCUCUCCACCUUGUCUCACAGUCUGUUUCACUUCUAUUAACUGCUUCUCUUCUAUUCCAAAUGAUUUUUAGUACUAACUACAUUUUCAUGACAGCAUUCAUCACAUUUGAUCUGAACGUGACUUUUUAGAUCCUCACCAUUUCUGCUCUCAAAUUGAAAGUCAUUUGUCCAUCCAUCCAACAUAUGUGGUGAACAAAACAUAAUCCCUGCCUUCAAAGAAUCUGUGAUCUAGAAGUGUUAUCAGACAAGUAAAGAGGCAACUGUAGUACACUUUGGUAAUUGUUGGGAUAAGGCUAAGUUCAGAGGAUGUGGGGAGGAUAUAAGAGGGGCAGCAAACCUAGUCCUGAGGAAUUUGGAUUCUUAGGAAAAGGAAGAGCUAAGCCAGGGUCCGGAGAAGUUGUAGAAACUAGCUAACCAAGAAGAGAGGCAGAGAAGGUGUGCUCAGCACCAAAAACAAUUGCAAAGAUCUAGGAGGUAAGAGAGUCAGCUUCAAUACUGAUGGUAAGAAAGAAAUAGGAAGAUGAUAGGUCACUUUGAAGUCUGAAGGGUAUCCUUUUUCCUGUAUUCCAGUUCUGAGAUAGCAAGAUUUUCAAGUCAGAUAAACAGAUUUGAAUUCUUAACUUGUGAGGCCUUCCUUUAUUACUUAUUUGAAAUAGAAGGCCUGCCCUUCCUUUCUCUGUUUCUAUUAGCUUCUUUAUUUUUCUCCAGAUAUUUAUCACCAUAUGAUGUACAUUAUAUUUUACUUAUAUAUUUGUUUAUUGCUUGUUCUUCUCCCAAUUGUAAAUUUAAUGUGAUUUUGACUGUUUUAUUCACCACUGUUGCAUCUGAAAUUGUGCCUAACAGAAAGUAAAUGGUUAGUAAAUUUUUGUUGAAGAAAUAAGUCCUCAUUCUCAUCUGUUACUUGGUUAUGUGAAUUUAGGCAAUUUAUUUAACCAUUCAAAGAUUGGUUUCCUUAUUGGUUAAAUAGGAAUAAUAUCUACCAAAUGAGGAGUAAAUGAGAUAAUUUGUGUAAAAUAAUCAGUAUAAUAAAAUUCUACAAUUCUUUAUGUGAAAUCUUUGUGACCAAAUGCAAUUUGGAAUUCAGAAUUCUUCAUAUUUUAGAAAGGUACUAAUAUAGUCGGCUCUCCACAUCUAUGGGUUCUGCAUCUGUGGAUUUAACCAACUUUGAAUUGAAAGUAUUUGGUGAAAAAUAACAAUACAACAAUAAAAAAUAAUACAAAUUAAACAACCAAUAUAGUGUAACAACCAUUUACGUAGCAUUUACAUUGUCUUAGGUACUAUUUAUAACCUAGAGAUUAUUUAAAGUACAUGGGAAGAUGUGUAAAGGUUGUAUGUAAAUACUGUACCAUUUUAUAUCAGGGAUUUGAGCAUCUGUAGAUUUUGGUAUUCAAGGAGGGAGGAUCCUGGAACUAAUCCCCUGUGGAUACCAAGGGAUGACAGUGUAUUUUAUAUUAUACAUCUUAGAGUCUAGGGCAGCAGUCCAUAACAAAUAGUAACAUUUCUACAGCAAAACAUACAGGUAUUCACACUUAAAUGGGAUAAAUGAAGAUUCUGUAGUAGCUUCACAUCUUUUCGGUCAGAUUUUUGCCUAGAGGCAAAAUCUACAGUUGAAUUCAGUUUUUUAUGCAGUCAAAUUAGUUAUAGAAUAACUUUGAUUUUUCAGAGCUUUAUGGAUAUUGGAACAUUGAUAUGGGAUGGUGGACCUGUACCUAACACACACAUAAACAAAUGUAAAAAUUACUAUGAAGUACUUGGAGUUACGAAAGAUGCUGGUGAUGAAGAUUUGAAAAAAGCUUAUAGAAAGCUUGCUUUGAAGUUUCAUCCAGACAAAAACCAUGCACCUGGAGCAACAGAUGCUUUUAAAAAGAUUGGAAAUGCUUAUGCUGUUUUAAGUAAUCCAGAAAAGCGAAAACAGUAUGACCUCACGGGCAAUGAAGAACAAGCAUGUAACCACCAAAACAAUGGCAGAUUUAAUUUCCAUAGAGGUUGUGAAGCUGAUAUAACUCCAGAAGACUUGUUUAAUAUAUUUUUUGGGGGUGGAUUUCCUUCAGGUAGUGUACAUUCUUUUUCAAAUGGAAGAGCUGGUUAUAGCCAACAACAUCAGCAUCGACAUAGUGGACAUGAAAGAGAAGAGGAAAGAGGAGAUGGAGGUUUUUCUGUGUUUAUCCAGCUGAUGCCCAUAAUUGUAUUGAUCCUCGUGUCAUUAUUAAGCCAGUUGAUGGUCUCUAAUCCUCCUUAUUCCUUAUAUCCCAGAUCUGGAACUGGGCAAACUAUUAAAAUGCAAACAGAAAACUUGGGUGUUGUUUAUUACGUCAACAAGGACUUCAAAAAUGAAUAUAAAGGAAUGUUAUUACAAAAGGUAGAAAAGAGUGUGGAGGAAGAUUAUGUGACUAAUAUUCGAAAUAACUGCUGGAAAGAAAGACAACAAAAAACAGAUAUGCAGUAUGCAGCAAAAGUAUACCGUGAUGAUCGACUCCGAAGGAAGGCAGAUGCCUUGAGCAUGGACAACUGUAAAGAAUUAGAGCGGCUUACCAGUCUUUAUAAAGGAGGAUGAACUGGAAUUUUUAUUUAUACCUUUUAGCGUACUCUUUAUUUUUUCUGUAAGUAAGUUUGGUUUCAUCAUGAGGGAUGAAGGAAAAGAUUUGAUACUGAAAACUAAACUGAAUAGUUGGUUCCUGAAAUCUUGGACUGUUUAUGACCUACUGGCUCCUUUAAAUAGUAACUGAAAACUAAAAUGGAAUAUUUUAGUUAACGCUUCUACAAGUAUUUUCAUUUUAAAAGCUUACAUGAUUCCUAACUAAAGUGUCAUGAGAAAGGAUUAUCACACCUGUAGCAAUUUCCAGUUUUAGUGAUUCUCCAUUUUUUCCCUUGUCAUGUAAAUAUUUAUGGAAUGAUCAUUUUGUGUACAUACAGGUUACUGCUUUUUUAUUUAAAUUCUUUUAGUGUUUAGCUCCAUGAGACACUUCAGUUUAAAUUGAUGGAAUAAAUGUUAUAUGACACAUUUACAUUUUCCUUAUCAAGGUGUCAAAUAUGUGGACUUUAAACAAUGAAACUUUUUCAAAAAGAAAAAACAAAAACUUUAACUUUGUGUAAAAUCUUAUAGUAUUAUCAGCUUAGAGGGAAUUGAUAUUUUUAAUAUUGCCGUUAUAUUCCAAAAUAUAUAUUGAGAUAAAUGAACUGGUGUAGAAUAUCAGUUUGCUAUUUAGUUUUAUGAAUUACUAUACAUAUACAUGCAUAGAAAUGAAAUGCUAUACUGAUAGAUUUUAAAGAAAAUAUGAGGAAAUGGCUAUAAAUAUUAAACUAAAAGGGUCUUCAACAGUAAAGUGCAGUUAUGUCAUUUAAAAUUCCAAUACUUUAAAGGCCACCAAAUUUUGAAGUAUAUGUCCUUGAAGGGCUGCUAAAAUUUAUGAAGAGGACUCACAUUUUCCCCCAUAGAAAUUUGCAGUUUCUUGGUGAUCAUUUAAGCAGGAUCCAAAGAAGUUCCUCUACAAAUAAGUAAUAAGAAAAAUGAGUACUAAAAUACAGCUUUGUGCCUUUUAACCCUAUGCCAACUCCUAAACAUAUAAGUUGAUUACAGUAUACUUAUCUGAUCAGAGCAUGAUCUGUUUGGCCACAUGCAAGUGUGAGCAGAAAUAGAGCAGCACGUAGAAUAGUAACUUAAAGCAAGUCAUCCUUUAAAAAUUCUGAGCUAAAAUCUAUUUACCAUUGAGUAAUUGAAUUAAUCCCAUAGGAAUAAGCUCCUUGUAAGUAAAUCCAUGAUAUGAAUUAGAAAAAAAAAACAGCUGGAAAUUGAAGUUUUUGAUGCCUGUAUACUGGAUAUGAAACUAUUUGAUUUCUAGUCUUCUGUGUUUAGCAGUUGUAAUAUUUUAAUGAUUUUGCUUCAUACUCGGUUAAUGGAACAUAAACAUAUCUUUGAUACUUCUUUGUGAGUGAGAGAAUGCUAGAUAGGGUGGCUUUGUUCUUUGUUUAAGUUUUUUUUCCUGAAUGUAGUUAAUUUAUGGCAUCUGUUGAAUAAAACUGCUAAAAUGACCUCUUAAAAAUGUUCUGUUGUAUCCCCUUUUCCAGGUGAAUCAAUAGAAAUGCCUGAUUGAAUUAGCAGGUUAAACUAAACAACAUACUGUCAUAGGAAAACUGGAGAGCUUAACCAACUUGCUCUUAGAAAUGUUACCUUAAAAAAAAAAAA
rnacentral:sRNA from 1 species